rnacentral:antisense_RNA from 13 species
UGUAGCUAAAGAUAACACCAGGACUUACUGUUGGGUUUGAAAUAAUACGAACAUCACCACCACCAGGAGCCCAUGUAUCAUAAAUUCCGCCAAAGUACAUUGCCUUCCAAACUAAAAGCCAAGCACCGAAUCCUAGUACGAUAAGAUGAAUACCUAAAAUAGUAGUCAUUUUAUUUUUAUCUUUCCA